rnacentral:lncRNA from 1 species
UUACAUUUCAGAUCAUAAAAUCAGCUGAUUUCUCUCUGAUAAUAUUUAAGAAGAAGAAAUCACAGCUUUCACUUUCACUGAGGAGAUCAGUCAGAGAGCACCGGAGAAGAUGAACGCUAUGAAAGCACCACAACUGUACCAGAGCAUGAGAAAGAAGGAAAGGAAACCUGAUAGAAAGCAUGGCAGAUCAUCACAAGGUAUUUUACACCUGUUCACUUCCACCUACAGAAUAUUUAGCAUCCAUUCUCUAAUUCACUGAAUAGAGGGAACACACAACUGCUCACGAUGAUCCCAGAAUCCUCAAGCCCUGCAGCGCAUCCAUACCAUCCAUUAAACUUAGACACAUCAUCAUUACAUCAUUCAUUCACUUGCUAAAUGUGUUGAUGCUAACUCAUUUAAUUCAUCAGAGAGAAACACAUUUAUAUUCAUGCUGUUUAUCUGUGUAGAGUCAGACAUGUUCAGGAUGAUAACAGUGUGUAAUUUCUGUUGUAGGAGAAGUGAGGUUUCUGCGCUGUGUAUCUGGAAACACUCUGGGUUCAGAUAAUGAAUUUAUAAGAAAGCUGAAAGAGGGAAUACCCGGCCUGAAGGAGGAGUUUAACCUGGAGAACUGUGAUUUUAUUCUGGUUUUCUGUCCUGUUGUUUCUGGACGAAUAAUGAGCAUUAGAUCAGCUCUGCAGAAACUUCAGGACUUAUCAGAAUCCAAGCCUGCAGUUCUGGUGGUUCUUCAUCACACAUUUGACCCGGAGUUCUUCAUAUCAGACAGCAGCAGCAGAAGUAUGGACAGAGAGAAUACUCUGACUGUAGACUGUCUGUUUGAACAAGAUAGAGGACUUCUGAAGUGCCAGAGGAACCAGGAAGCUCUGGAGAGAGUUACACAGUGGAUAAAUAUUCCGGUAUUUGCUUAUUGUUUAUUUGCAUCAUAUUUUCAAGAUGCUGGAUUACAAUUUAACCAAAUAAAUUUCCUGUUUUAGGUAAAAGGACAGGAUGACCCACAGAUGGGUAAGUCAUGUCUCACUACAACAUAAUUAACAGUAUUUACAAUUUAUUUCAGGAAAAAUAAUGUUUUGUAGCUUUUAGUAAGAUUGAGUUUUUUGUCUGUUUUCUCUUUGAUUCAGCUCAUUUAUUCAGGAUCAAUAAUCAACCCGAACCAACAACAAAUACUGCAGAUGCCGUGGUGAGUAUUCAGUAUUCACUCAUUCUGAGCCCAUGCUGAACAUUUACAACACUGCAGAUCGAAUCCAGAAAUAAUCACCUUUCAUCUACUGUAAUAAAUUUCCUACAGAAAUUCUAACGAUAGGGUCU